rnacentral:lncRNA from 10 species
GUCCUUCAUCUCUGCACCAGCCUGAAGGUUCACAGUGACAUCAGGAGUGCUCGAGUUGGAAUAGCCCAGAUCUGCUCAUUUGCCUCCCCCGGCUUGGCGAGCUCAGACCUGUGAGCUGUCGUAGGGGGUGACAGAGAAGCUGCACGAAAGAAACUCCAGGGCUUCCUGGAGUGCCUGAGGAGGAAGCCCUGCACACCGGCUGGGGCUCUGCAGGGGGCCUCAGGGCCAACAGAGCCAGCUGAGUUGAGGUGAAGCAACGUGAAGUGUCACCAUGGGGAAUGACAGGAGGGAGUCCCACCUCGGGAUUGAGUAGGAGACCACGUGAGGAGUGAAGAAGGGCCUGAGGGGUGAGACAUCUCUGGCCUGUGAAAGGGACUGAGGGUGGGGCCCUUCACACUGGAGAGGGGCCAUAACUACUUCCAUUUG